rnacentral:rRNA from 1 species
CACGAAGUUAGCCGGUGCUUAUUCUUUGGGUACCGUCAGAACUCCCGGGUAUUAACCGGUAGCUUUUCUUCCCCAACAAAAGUGCUUUACAACCCGAAGGCCUUCUUCACACACGCGGCAUGGCUGGAUCAGGCUUGCGCCCAUUGUCCAAUAUUCCCCACUGCUGCCUCCCGUAGGAGUCUGGACCGUGUCUCAGUUCCAGUGUGGCUGAUCAUCCUCUCAGACCAGCUACCGAUCGUCGCCUUGGUGGGCCUUUACCCCGCCAACUAGCUAAUCGGACAUCGGCUCAUCCAAUCGCGCGACGCCUUGCGGUCCGCCGCUUUCAACCAUAGUUCGUAUGCGGUAUUAGCGUAAGUUUCCCUACGUUAUCCCCCACGACAAGGUAGAUUCCGAUGUAUUCCUCACCCGUCCGCCACUCGCCACCCACAGUAUUGCUACUGCUGUGCUGCCGUUCGACUUGCAUGUGUUAGGCCUGCCGCCAGCGUUCACUCUGAGCCAGGAUCAAA